rnacentral:rRNA from 1 species
GACGAACGCUGGCGGCGUGGAUUAGGCAUGCAAGUCGAACGGUAUCAUCCUUUCGGGGGUGAGAGAGUGGCGAACUGGUGAGUAACACGUAGGUUAUCUACCCUCAAGACGGGGACAACCCAGGGAAACUUGGGCUAAUACCGGAUGUGAGCAACUUUUAGUUGUUUGAAAGGUGGCGUAAGCUGUCGCUUGGGGAUGAGCCUGCGUCCUAUUAGUUAGUUGGUGAGGUAACGGCUCACCUAGGCAAUGAUAGGUAGGCGGCCUUAACGGGUGGUCGCCCACACUGGGAUUGAGAUACGGCCCAGACUCCUACGGGAGGCAGCAGUGGGGAAUAUUGGGCAAUGGGCGAAAGCCUGACCCAGCGACGCCGCGUGGGUGAUGAAGGCCUUCGGGUUGUAAGCACUUUCGGGUAGGAAGAGGAAGGACUGUACUCCCAGAAUAAGCCUCGGCUAACUACGUG